rnacentral:piRNA from 1 species
UAGCGGAUUGAACGACACGACAAGAAC